rnacentral:rRNA from 1 species
CUAGUCUGGGAUACCACUUGGAAACAGAUGCUAAUACCGGAUAAAAAGCUACUUUCGCAUGAAAGAAGUUUAAAAAAAGGACGGCGUAAAGCUGUCGCUAAAGGAUGGACCUGCGAUGCAUUAGCUAGUUGGUAAGGUAACGGCUUACCAAGGCGAUGAUGCAUAGCCGAGUUGAGAGACUGAUCGGCCACAUUGGGACUGAGACACGGCCCAAACUCCUACGGGAGGCAGCAGUAGGGAAUCUUCCACAAUGGACGCAAGUCUGAUGGAGCAACGCCGCGUGAGUGAAGAAGGUUUUCGGAUCGUAAAGCUCUGUUGUUGGUGAAGAAGGAUAGAGGUAGUAACUGGCCUUUAUUUGACGGUAAUCAACCAGAAAGUCACGGGCUAACUACGUGCCAGCAGCCGCGGUAAAU